GGAUGCGAUCAUACCAGCACUAAAGCAUCGGAUCCCAUCAGAACUCCGAAGUUAAGCGUGCUUGGGCGAGAAUAGUACUAGGAUGGGUGACCUCCUGGGAAGUCCUCGUGUUGCAUUCC
rnacentral:rRNA from 1 species